GAUGAAGAACGCAGCGAACUGCGAUAAGUAAUGUGAAUUGCAGAAUUCAGUGAAUCAUCGAGUCUUUGAACGCACAUUGCGCCCCCUGGCAUUCCGGGGGGCAUGCCUGUCCGAGCGUCAUUGCUGCCCUUCAAGCCCGGCUUGUGUGUUGGGUCGUCGUCCCCCCCGGGGGACGGGCCCGAAAGGCAGCGGCGGCACCGCGUCCGGUCCUCGAGCGUAUGGGGCUUUGUCACCCGCUCGAUUAGGGCCGGCCGGGCGCCAGCCGGCGUCUCCAACCUUCUAUUUUACCAGGUUGACCUCGGAUCAGGUAGGGAUACCCGCUGAACUUAAGCAUAUCAUUAAGCGGAGGA
rnacentral:misc_RNA from 1 species